rnacentral:rRNA from 1 species
GCCGGAAGUGGAAUGGUAAACUAGUGGCGGACGGGUGAGUAACGCGUGGGUAACCUACCCCAGUACAGGGGGAUAGCAGCUGGAAACGGCUGAUAAAACCGCAUAAAACGGCAGCAGGGCAUCCUGCAACCGUCAAAUAUUUAUAGGGUAUGGGAUGGGCCCGCGUCUGAUUAGAUAGUUGGUGGGGUAACGGCCUACCAAGUCAGCGAUCAGUAGCCGGCCUGAGAGGGUGAACGGCCACAUUGGGACUGAGACACGGCCCAAACUCCUACGGGAGGCAGCAGUGGGGAAUAUUGGACAAUGGGGGGAACCCUGAUCCAGCCGACGCCGCGUGAGUGAAGAAGUAUUUCGGUAUGUAAAGCUCUAUCAGCAGGGAAGAUGAUGACGGUACCUGACUAAGAAGCCCCGGCUAACUACGUGCCAGCCGCCGC